CUGAUCCAGCCAUGCCGCGUGUGUGAAGAAGGCCCUCGGGUUGUAAAGCACUUUCAGCGAGGAAGAACGCCUAGCGGUUAAUACCCGCUAGGAAAGACAUCACUCGCAGAAGAAGCACCGGCUAACUCCGUGCCAGCAGCCGCGGUAAUACGGAGGGUGCAAGCGUUAAUCGGAAUUACUGGGCGUAAAGCGCGCGUAGGUGGCUUGAUAAGCCGGUUGUGAAAGCCCCGGGCUCAACCUGGGAACGGCAUCCGGAACUGUCAAGCUAGAGUGCAGGAGAGGAAGGUAGAAUUCCCGGUGUAGCGGUGAAAUGCGUAGAGAUCGGGAGGAAUACCAGUGGCGAAGGCGGCCUUCUGGACUGACACUGACACUGAGGUGCGAAAGCGUGGGUAGCAAACAGGAUUAGAUACCCUGGUAGUCCACGCCGUAAACGAUGUCGACCAGCCGUUGGGUGCCUAGCGCACUUUGUGGCGAAGUUAACGCGAUAAGUCGACCGCCUGGGGAGUACGGCCGCAAGGUUAAAACUCAAAUGAAUUGACGGGGGCCCGCACAAGCGGUGGAGCAUGUGGUUUAAUUCGAUGCAACGCGAAGAACCUUACCUACUCUUGACAUCCUGCGAAUUUGGUAGAGAUACCUUAGUGCCUUCGGGAACGCAGAGACAGGUGCUGCAUGGCUGUCGUCAGCUCGUGUUGUGAAAUGUUGGGUUAAGUCCCGUAACGAGCGCAACCCUUGUCCUUAUUUGCCAGCGCGUAAUGGCGGGAACUCUAAGGAGACUGCCGGUGACAAACCGGAGGAAGGUGGGGACGACGUCAAGUCAUCAUGGCCCUUACGAGUAGGGCUACACACGUGCUACAAUGGUCGGUACAAAGGGUUGCCAACUCGCGAGAGUGAGCCAAUCCCGAAAAGCCGAUCUCAGUCCGGAUCGGAGUCUGCAACUCGACUCCGUGAAGUCGGAAUCGCUAGUAAUCGUG
rnacentral:rRNA from 1 species